rnacentral:rRNA from 1 species
AGCGAACGUUAGCGGCGGGCCUAACACAUGCAAGUCGAACGCGAAAGGUCUUCGGACUGAUUAGAGUGGCGCACGGGUGAGUAACACGUAGGUAAUCUACCCUUUGGCGGGGGAUAACGUUCCGAAAGGAGCGCUAAUACCGCAUAAGACCACGGAGUCUCCGGACGCUGUGGGAAAAGGUGGCCUCUUCUUGAAAGCUAUCACCGGAGGAUGAGCCUGCGUCCCAUCAGCUAGUUGGUAAGGUAAUGGCUUACCAAGGCAAAGACGGGUAGCUGGUUUGAGAGAAUGAUCAGCCACACUGGCACUGGAACACGGGCCAGACUCCUACGGGAGGCAGCAGUGAGGAAUAUUGGGCAAUGGGCGAAAGCCUGACCCAGCCACGCCGUGUGAGUGAUGAAGGCCCUCGGGUCGUAAAGCUCUGUGGAGAGGGACGAAAAACCUGGGGUCUAAUAGGCCCCGGACUUGACGGUACCUCUUUAGCAAGCACCGGCUAACUCUGUGCCAGCAGCCGACGG